AGUCGAGCGAGUCUGCCUUGAAGAUCGGAGUGCUUGCACUCUGUGAAACAAGAUACAGGCUAGCGGCGGACGGGUGAGUAACACGUGGGUAACCUGCCCAAGAGAUCGGGAUAACACCUGGAAACAGAUGCUAAUACCGGAUAACAACAGAUGAUGCCUAUCAACUGUUUAAAAGAUGGUUCUGCUAUCACUCUUGGAUGGACCUGCGGUGCAUUAGCUAGUUGGUAGGGUAACGGCCUACCAAGGCGAUGAUGCAUAGCCGAGUUGAGAGACUGAUCGGCCACAUUGGGACUGAGACACGGCCCAAACUCCUACGGGAGGCAGCAGUAGGGAAUCUUCCACAAUGGACGCAAGUCUGAUGGAGCAACGCCGCGUGAGUGAAGAAGGGUUUCGGCUCGUAAAGCUCUGUUGUUGGUGAAGAAGGACGGGGGUAGUAACUGACCUUUGUUUGACGGUAAUCAAUUAGAAAGUCACGGCUAACUACGUGCCAGCAGCCGCGGUAAUACGUAGGUGGCAAGCGUUGUCCGGAUUUAUUGGGCGUAAAGCGAGUGCAGGCGGUUCGAUAAGUCUGAUGUGAAAGCCUUCGGCUCAACCGGAGAAUUGCAUCAGAAACUGUCGAGCUUGAGUACAGAAGAGGAGAGUGGAACUCCAUGUGUAGCGGUGAAAUGCGUAGAUAUAUGGAAGAACACCGGUGGCGAAGGCGGCUCUCUGGUCUGUUACUGACGCUGAGGCUCGAAAGCAUGGGUAGCGAACAGGAUUAGAUACCCUGGUAGUCCAUGCC
rnacentral:rRNA from 1 species